rnacentral:rRNA from 1 species
CAGCAGCCGCGGGAACACGUAGGGGGCGAGCGUUGUCCGGAAUUAUUGGGCGUAAAGCGCGUGUAGGCGGCUCAGCAAGUCCGCUCUGAAAGCCCAGGGCUCAACCCUGGGAUGCGGGUGGAUACUGCCGAGCUCGAGUCCGGAAGAGGCGAGUGGAAUUCCCGGUGUAGCGGUGAAAUGCGUAGAGAUCGGAAGGAACACCAGUGGCGAAGGCGGCUACCUGGCCUAAUACUGACACUGAGGCACGAAAGCGUGGGGAGCAAACAGGAUUAGAUACCCCCGUAGUCCCUGUCUCUUAUAC